GACACUAUAUAUCACAAUCGCACAGAAAGUGGAGAUAAGGGAAUCCAGAGGGCUUAGCUUUGCUAGGCUUUUGCCAAGAGUAAAAACCUUGGAGAAUAAGUGGUGGGAAAGACUGGUGCCAGCCGCCGCGGUAACACCAGCGCCACGAGGGGGGAUCCUGAUUAUUUGGCCUAAAGCGUCCGUAGCUGGUUUAGUAAAUCUCUUGUGAAAUCGUUGGGCUCAACCCAACGGCGUGCAGGGGAGACUGCUAGACUAGGGACCGGGGGGAGUCAGAGGUAUGCCGGGGGGAGCGGUAAAAUGCUAUAAUCCCUAGUAGACCACCUGUGGCGAAGGCGUCUGACCAGAACGGGUCCGACAGUGAGGGACGAAAGCCAGGGGAGCAAACCGGAUUAGAUACCCGAGUAGUCCUGGCUGUAAACGCUGCGAGCUAGGUGUUGCACAUUCUCCGCGAAUGUGCAGGGUCGAAGCGAAGGUGUUAAGCUCGCCGCCUGGGAAGUAUGGUCGCAAGACUGAAACUUAAAGGAAUUGGCGGGGGAAAGGGCGAAUUCGUUUAAACCUGCAGGACUAGUCCCUUUAGUGAGGGUUAAUUCUGAGCUUGGCGUAAUCAUGGUCAUAGCUGUUUUCCGGA
rnacentral:rRNA from 1 species